AAUGAACGCUGGCGGCAUGCCUAACACAUGCAAGUCGAACGAAGGCUUCGGCCUUAGUGGCGCACGAGUGCGUAAGGCGAGGGAAUCUGCCCAUGGGUUCGGAAUAACAGUUAGAAAUGACUGCUAAUACCGGAUGAUGUCUAAUAACCAAAGAUUUAUCGCCCAAGGAUGAGCCCGCGUAGGAUUAGCUUGUUGGUGGGGUAAAGGCAUACCAAGGCGAGGAUCCUUAGCUGGUCUGAGAGAAUGAUCAGCCACACUGGGACUGAGACACGGCCCAGACUCCUACGCGAGGCAGCAGUGGGGAAUAGUGGAAAAUCGGGGAAAGCCUGAUCCAGCAAGGCCGCGUGAGUGAUGAAGGCAUUAGGGUUGUAAAGCGCUUUUACCCGGGAUGAUAAUGACAGUACCGGGAGAAUAAGCCCCGGCUAACUUCGUG
rnacentral:rRNA from 1 species